AGAGACAGCAGUCGCCGCGGUAAUACAGAGGGUGCAAGCGUUAAUCGGAAUUACUGGGCGUAAAGCGCGCGUAGGUGGUUUGUUAAGUUGGAUGUGAAAUCCCCGGGCUCAACCUGGGAACUGCAUCCAAAACUGGCAAGCUAGAGUAUGGUAGAGGGUGGUGGAAUUUCCUGUGUAGCGGUGAAAUGCGUAGAUAUAGGAAGGAACACCAGUGGCGAAGGCGACCACCUGGACUGAUACUGACACUGAGGUGCGAAAGCGUGGGGAGCAAACAGGAUUAGAUACCCCUGUAGUCCCUGUCUCUUAUAC
rnacentral:rRNA from 1 species